GGACUACACGGGUUUCUAAUCCUGUUUGCUCCCCGCGCUUUCGUGCCUGAGCGUCAGGCGUCGGCCAGGACGCUGCCUUCGCCGUUGGUGUUCUUCCGGAUCUCUAUGCAUUUCACCGCUCCACCCGGAAUUCCACGUCCCUCUCCGAGCCUCAAGUGCCCCAGUCUUCACGGCCCUCUCCCAGGUAAGCCGGGAGCUUUCACCGCAAACUUAGGCCACCGCCUGCGCACCCUUUACGCCCAGUAACUCCGGACAACGCUCGCCUCCUACGUAUUACCGCGGCUGCUGGCAC
rnacentral:rRNA from 1 species